rnacentral:lncRNA from 1 species
GACACAUUUCCUCAAAAGCAUGGCAGCAAAUGUUGAAAAAGAAUGUGAAUGGGAAAGUUGAAAACCAUUUUUUGGAAGAAAUUUCUUGCCAUGCAUUUAUGGGAGCCAAUUUUGUUGAAAAUAGAUGGAUAUGCAUUUAAUGAGGAAGGUGAAAUUUUUCCUAUAAAUUGGAGCCAAAGUAGGAGGAAAGUAUUGUGCCAAAACGUGAGCAAAAGAGAAGUGCAAGAAAAUCGUGUAGAGUGAAAACACGAGAGAUAGUGAGCAAGCACAAAGUCAGAAGCAGUUAGGCUUUCGUUUGUGCAGGAAAUUAACGAGAGAAAAUUGAGAGAUUAUCUUUGCAUAGGCAAAUAAAAUAUAGAGAGUGUAUUUGUUGUAUUCCUUUUAUUCUCUUGUUGAUACAGUAAAAGAAUUGGUGUGGGUUUGUGGACGUAGGCACGAUUGCCGAACCACGUAAAUUCUUGUGUCACUUGCACUUAUUAUUUUUUUGCUACAUUUAUUUCUUCUCAGUUCAAAUUAUUUUGCGUCCCACUGAUCCUGGUGGAAUUAGUAGAGGUCUAAUUUCCUAACAACUGGUAUCAGAGCUCCAGAAUUUAAGUGGGAGGAAUGGCAACAGACGAGAAGAUAUCCAAAAUGGAUAAGUUUGAUGGUACAAACUUUGGAUUUUGGAAGAUGCAAAUGGAGGACUAUUUGUACCAAAAGGACCUGUAUAAACCACUUCACGUAAAGCCGGAGGACAUGACCGACGACGAGUGGGAAUUACUUGAUCGAAAGGCUCUUGGCGCAAUAAGACUGACAUUAUCAAAGUCAGUCGCUUUCAACAUAAAAAAUGAGAAGACGACGGCAUCUCUCAUGGCGGCCCUGUCUAGCAUGUAUGAACAACCAUCUGCAGCAAACAAAGUCCAUUUAAUCAAAAAACUAUUUACUAUGAAAAUGGUGGAAGGCGAAAGAUUUGGAGAACAUCUAAAUGUGGUCAAUGAAGUGACGGACCAGUUAAAUACAGUCGAAAUCACGUUCAGUGAUGAGGUUCGAGCUUUGUUGAUUCUCGGGUAGCUACCUGAGAGUUGGAAUGGCAAAGUUACAGCAAUUAGUAGCUUUGCCGGAAAGUCCAAAUUGAAAUUUGAAGAUGUCGUGAGUAUGAUCCUGACUGAGGAAAUACGAAGACAGUCAGAAGGCGUUUCCACUUCUGGAGCUGCUUUGAACGUGGAGAGCAGAGGAAGAAGUUCAAACAGAAGUAAAGGGCAUUACAGGAGCAAGUCAAGAUUUGGUCGAUCAAAAUCCAGAAAUCCAAAGAAUUUCAACAAAUCAAAAGUUGUUGAAUGUUGGAAUUGUGGCAAGACCGGACACUACAAAAAUCAGUGUCAAGUUUCCAAGAAAGAAAAUGAAAACAAGAUCGAGGCCAAUGUUGUAGCAGAGGAAUCAGAUGAUGCUUUGAUAUGCUCUUUGGAAAGCAAAACAGAAUACUGGGUAAUAGAUUCUGGAGCAUCUUUUCACGCUACAUCAAACAAAGAACUCUUUACGAGUUAUGAGCCGGGCAAUCUUGGAAAAGUAUAUCUUGGUGAUGAUCAACCUUGUGACGUAGUCGGCAAAGGCGAAGUACAGAUCAAGCUAAAUGGAUCUGUAUGGAAAUUGAAGGAUGUUAGGCACAUUCCAGACUUGAGGAAGAACCUGAUAUCUGUGGGACAACUAUCAAAUGAGGGUUAUGUCACAACCUUCAAUGGUGAUAUUUGGAAGGUUUCCAGUGGUGCAAUGACCAUAGCACGCGGCAAGAAAAGUGGUACUCUUUACAUCACAACGAGUGCUUGCGAAAUAAUUGCAGUUGCUGAUUCAAAUGAAGAUCCGAAUCUAUGGCACCAGAGACUGGGGCAUAUGAGUCAGAAAAGACUCAAGUACAUGCAUGACAAAGGGAAACUACCAGGACUUCAAUCUAUUGAUGCAGACCUAUGUGAGAGUUGCAUCUUCGGGAAGCAGAAGCGGGUGAGUUUCAACAAGUGUGGCAGAACUCCGAAGCAGGAAAAGCUAGAGUUAGUCCACACGGAUGUCUGGGGGCCAGCUGCAGUUCCAUCUAUUGGCGGAAAGUCUUAUUUUGUGACUUUCAUCGAUGAUCACUCCAGAAAAGUAUGGGUCUACUUCUUGAGACACAAAUCCGAAGUGUUUGAGAUGUUCAAGAAGUGGAAAGCUAUGGUGGAGAAUGAGACAAGUUUGCAAGUAAAGAAAUUGAGAUCAGAUAAUGGCGGAGAGUACGAACAUGCUGAUUUCAAAAAGUUUUGUUACCAAAGUGGUAUCAAACUGGAAAGGACAUUACCAGGAACACCGCAACAAAAUGGUGUGGCCGAACGAAUAAGCCAGACGUUGACAGAGAGAGCCAGAAGCAUGUGGUUACACGCUGGCUUGCCUAAACAAUUUUGGGCUGAAGCUAUCAACACAGCAGCAUACUUAAUCAAUCGCGGGCCAUCAGUGCCUUUGGAGUACAGGAUACCAAAGGAAGUAUGGAGCGGAAAAGAAAUAAAACUUUCUCAUUUGAAAGUUUUUGGUUGUGUCCCAUAUGUACAUAUUAGUGAUCAAGCUAGGGGUAAACUUGACCCCAAAUCACUAAAGUGUACAUUCAUUGGAUAUGGUGGAGAUGAGUUCGGGUAUCGCUUUUGAGAUGAUAAGAACAAAAAGGUCAUCAAAAGUCGGGAUGUCAUAUUCAAUGAAAGGGUGAUGUACAAGGAUAGAGAUACAGCACAGUCCAGUGACAUACAUGAUAAUCCAACAUUUGUUGAGUUGGAUGAUACUCCAAGUAGUAGUAUGUCAAAGCAGACAGAUGAAAGUCCUUAGCCAGAGGAAGCUGUUGCGGAGACUUUACCUCCAACUCCUAUUCCUAGAAGAUCUUCCCGACCACAUGUUCCAAACAGAAAGUACAUAAAUUAUUUGUUACUUACUGAUGCCGGUGAACCUGAAUGCUAUGAUGAGGCAUGUCAGGGAGAUGAUGCAAUUAAGUGGGAGCUUGCAAUGAAAGAUGAGAUAAAGUCUCUUAUUUCUAAUCAAACGUGGGAACUAGUUGAGUUGCCUGCACAAAAGAAAGCCUACACAAUAAAUGGGUCUAUCGAGUCAAGGAGGAACAUGACGGAUCAAAGAGAUACAAGACGAGAUUGGUGGUCAAAGGCUUUCAACAGAAAGAAGGAAUUGACUACACAGAGAUUUAUUCUCCAGUAGUAAAGCUGACAACAAUUCGAUCAGUCUUAAGUAUUGUUGCAGCAAAGGGGUUGCACUUAGAGCAGUUAGAUGUGAAAACUGCCUUUCUCUAUGGUGACCUAGAGGAAGAGAUAUAUAUGCAGCAACCAGAGGGUUUCUCAAUCAAAGGAAAAGAGAAGCUUGUGUGCAAAUUGAAGAAAAGCUUGUAUGGCUUAAAACAAGCUCCGAGACAGUGGUACAAGAAGUUUGACGGAUUUAUGCAGAAAAAUGGCUACUACAAGUGCAAUGCUGACUAUUGUUGCUAUUUUAAGAGGCUGGAGUCCAGCUACAUUAUUUUGCUACUUUAUGUUGACGACAUGUUAGUAGCGGGACCAGACAUGAACGAAAUCCAGAAAUUAAAGAAGCAACUGUGAGCAGAAUUCGAAAUGAAGGACUUGGGUCCAGCUAAACAAAUUCUAGGGAUGAGAAUUUGUAGGGACAAGCAAAAAGGCAUUUUGCAGUUAUCCCAGGCCAAGUACAUUAGUCAAGUUUUGCAGAGGUUCAACAUGAACAAUGCAAAGGCAGUUAGCACACCAUUGGCUAACCACUUCCGUCUAUCAAACGACCAGUCUCCAAAAACAGAAGAAGGAAGAAACUUCAUGGCUAAUAUUACAUACGCCUCAGCCAUUAGAAGUUUAAUGUAUGCCAUGGUCUGUACAAGACCAGACAUUGCUCAUGCAGUGGGAAUUGUGAGCAGAUUCAUGACAAAUCCAGGAAAACAGCAUUGGGAAGCAGUGAAGUGGAUAUUGAGAUAUCUACAGGGUACUGUUGAUAAAUGUUUGUCUUUCAAAAGAGGUGAGUUGGCACUACAAGGCUUUGUAGAUGCAGAUUUUGUUGGCGAGGUUGAUCACAGGAAAAGCACCACCGGUUAUGUAUUCACAGUUGGUACUACUGCAGUGAGUUGGGUUUCACAAAAACAGAAGAUUGUUGCUUUAUCCACUACAGAAGCAGAGUACGUGGCGGUAACCGAAGCUAGCAAAGAGAUGAUUUGGUUACAAGGUCUGUUGACAGAAUUGGGUCUCAAGCAGGAAAAGAAUAUUUUACAUAGUGAUAGUCAGAGUGCUAUACAUCUGGCAAAGAAUGCAGCAUUUCAUUCGAGAACGAAGCACAUAGGACUUCGUUAUCACUUCAUCAGAUCUCUCUUGGAGGAUGGAGUAUUAACACUGGAAAAGAUCCAGGGCAGUAGAAACCCAGCUGACAUGUUAACCAAGGCGGUAACUAUGGAAAAACUGGAGUUGUGUUCAACUUCAGUUGGCCUUCUAAAAUGAAGAUGAGGAAGGAGAUCCACACCAAUUUUACUAAAAAGAAAUUGCUCGCAGGAUGCCUCAAGGUGAAGCCACAUUAGUCUCCAAGUGGGAGAUUGUUGAAAAAUAUGGAGCCUAAAUGUUAGGCUUCACAAUUUCAAUGGUGGCAGACACAUUUCCUCAAAAGCAUGGCAUCAAAUGUUGAAAAGGAAUGUGAAUGGAAAAGUUGAAAACCAUUUCUUGGAAGAAAUUUCUUGCCAUGCAUUUAUGGGAGCCAGUUUUGUUGAAAAUAGAUGGAUAUGCAUUUAAUGAGGAAGGUGAAAUUUUUCCUAUAAAUUGGAGCCAAAGUAGGAGGAAAGUAUUGUGCCAAAACGUGAGCAAAAGAGAAGUGCAAGAAAAUCGUGUAGAGUGAAAACACGAGAGAUAGUGAGCAAGCACAAAGUCAGAAGCAGUUAGGCUUUCGUUUGUGCAGGAAAUUAACGAGAGAAAAUUGAGAGAUUGUCUUUGCAUAGGCAAAUAAAAUACAGAGAGUGUAUUUGUUGUAUUCCUUUUAUUCUCUUGUUGAUACAGUAAAAGAAUUGGUGUGGGUUUGUGGACGUAGGCACGAUUGUCGAACCACGUAAAUUCUUGUGUCA